rnacentral:rRNA from 1 species
AACGAACGCUGGCGGCAGGCCUAACACAUGCAAGUCGAACGGACGUAGCAAUACGUUAGUGGCGCACGGGAGAGUAACGCGUGGGAACCUACCUUUUGGUUCGGGAUAACAUCGGGAAACUGGUGCUAAUACCGGAUAAGCCCUUCGGGGGAAAGAUUUAUUGCCGAAAGAUGGGCCCGCGUUGGAUUAGCUAGUUGGUGAGGUAAUGGCUUACCAAGGCAACGAUCCAUAGCUGGUCUGAGAGGAUGAUCAGCAUCACUGGGACUGAGACACGGCCCAGACACCUAAGGGAGGCAGCAGUGGGGAAUAUUGGACAAUGGGGGAAACACUGAGCCAGCAGGCCGCGUGAAUGAUGAAGGCCUUCGGGUUGGAAAGUUCUUUUGGUGUGGACGAUGAUGACGGUACCCACAGAAUAAGCUCCGGCUAACUUCGUGCCAGCCGCCGCGGUAA